rnacentral:rRNA from 1 species
UUGAAAGGGAAACGAUUGAAGUCAGUCGUACCGACGAGAAUUCAACUCUUCAAGUGCGAACUUGUGGGCGUGCGUGAGCUUUAAAACCUCGCUGUUUUGCAACGUUUGUGCUUUUUGGGUGUACUUUUUCGCAUGGUAGGCCAACGUCAGUUUCGUUUACCAUAAAAUGACCGGAGGAAUGUAGCUUCGAUCUCGUAUUGAAGUGUUAUAGCCCCUGGUAGAUGUGGUAAACGAAACUGAGGAUUGCAACGAAUACCCUUUGGGCUAUCCGUCUGACCUCUGAAAGUUGCUUAGGUGCCGAGAGCAUGCUUACGGUUAUUUAAGUUGACGGUCAAUAGGUUAGAACGUGAUUAUAUUCGUUAAGGAUGUUGACGUA